ACCAAUAGAUUGGAAGUAACUAAUGAGAUGUAUGUCAAGGGCCUCCCUCCAUCCAUCCAAUAGCUCUAGAAAAGGUUGUCCACUAUAAUGUGAGUCUGCGAAUGAUGGCUAUGAAGCUUUUAAUGGUAGUAUAUUGGGGACUAAAAGAUGAAAAGUUAGAGACAAAAUCUGAGCUUGAGCAGAAUCUGCCUCCCUCACCAACCCAAACAACCCACUGUCCCAUCCCAAUCAUGAACUUUGCCACCUUUUCCAUAUAGCCUAGGAUUUGUGAAUUGGGCUUGAAGUUGAGAUGCACAAUAUCUUGAAUGUGGCUUUCCAUGCCUAUGACCUCUUUGAUAUGGAGACAGUCAGACAUAGGAGCUCAACUCUCAUAUCGCAAAACUUUCUGGGAGACCCCUUAGUAGAUGGCAUCAUAAGUAGCUCAAGGUUAGUUGGAGCGGAAUAAUAGGAUUUUCUAGAGUAAGUUAUGGUUGGUUGAAGAAGUUGUGACUGUUGUGGUGCAGCUGGCCAAAUAGGUAAUGUAAUCUGAUGUUCAACUCUCGAGUCUCACACUGCUCACAGGCCCAAGGAUAGAUCUGAUCUAAUAUCAGUGAAAAGAAUAACAGAGAUCAAAUCUGAACUAGGCAACAGAACAGAAUGUAGGAAUUUUUCUUCUCAACUGAACAGAAUGUAGGAGUUCAAAAAUAGAACUGAACUGUGAUCAGAUCUGAUGACGAAGAUGCUCCUGCAGGAUGGAGGAGAAAGAAGAGGAGAAAAACAGAAGAUGGGAAUAAAAGAAGAGAAGUAAAGUGAAAACAGAGUGAUGUACCGAAGGAGAGAGAGAGGAGAGAGUAAAGCAAACUUAACUUUCACAACAACACUCAAAUUCUUUUCAUUCAUCUAAAUGCGUGUAGGAUUACUACUCUAUUUAUACAGACCGAAAAAAUGCUUUAGGACUCCUAAACC